rnacentral:rRNA from 1 species
CGCAAUGGGCGAAAGCCUGACGGAGCGACGCCGCGUGAUUGAUGAAGUCCCUUCGGGACGUAAAGAUCUUUUGUAGGGGAAGAAGUUUAUUGACUGUACCCUAAGAAUAAGAGGCUCCUAAUCUCGUGCCAGCAGGAGCGGUAAUACGAGAGCCUCGAGCGUUAUCCGGAAUUAUUGGGCGUAAAGGGUGUGUAGGUUGUUCUGUUAGUCUUUUGUUAAAGCCCCGGGCUUAACCUGGGAAAGGCGAAAGAUACGGCAAAACUAGAAAGUGCGAGAGGUAUAUGGAACUCAUGGUGUAGGGGUGAAAUCCGUUGAUAUCAUGGGGAACACCAAAAGCGAAGGCAAUAUACUGGCGCAUAUUUGACACUGAAACACGAAAGCGU